AGAUUUACUUCGGUAAUGACGCUGGGGACGCGAGCGGCGGAUGGGUGAGUAACACGUGGGGAACCUGCCCCAUAGUCUGGGAUACCACUUGGAAACAGGUGCUAAUACCGGAUAAGAAAGCAGAUCGCAUGAUCAGCUUAUAAAAGGCGGCGUAAGCUGUCGCUAUGGGAUGGCCCCGCGGUGCAUUAGCUAGUUGGUAAGGUAACGGCUUACCAAGGCAAUGAUGCAUAGCCGAGUUGAGAGACUGAUCGGCCACAUUGGGACUGAGACACGGCCCAAACUCCUACGGGAGGCAGCAGUAGGGAAUCUUCCACAAUGGACGCAAGUCUGAUGGAGCAACGCCGCGUGAGUGAAGAAGGUUUUCGGAUCGUAAAGCUCUGUUGUUGGUGAAGAAGGAUAGAGGUAGUAACUGGCCUUUAUUUGACGGUAAUCAACCAGAAAGUCACGGCU
rnacentral:rRNA from 1 species